rnacentral:rRNA from 1 species
AUACGGAGGAUGCAAGCGUUAUCCGGAUUUAUUGGGUUUAAAGGGUGCGUAGGCGGUUUGCUAAGCGGGAGGUGAAAUGCCGGCGCUCAACGUCGGAAGUGCCUCCCGAACUGGUGGACUGGAAUGACUCUGCCGUGGGAGGAAUGCGUAGUGUAGCGGUGAAAUGCUUAGAGAUUACACAGAACACCGAUUGCGAAGGCAUCUCACGAAGGGUUGAUUGACGCUGAGGCACGAAAGCGUGGGGAUCAAACAGGAUUAGAUACCCUGGUAGUCCACGCAGUAAACGAUGAUGGCUAACCGCUGGUUUAUUCGGAUCAGUGGCCAAGCGAAAGCGAUAAGCCAUCCACCUGGGGAGUACGACCGCAAGGUUGAAACUCAAAUGAAUUGACGGGG